GGGUUGUGAGGUUAAGCGACUAAGCGUACACGGUGGAUGCCCUGGCAGUCAGAGGCGAUGAAGGACGUGCUAAUCUGCGAUAAGCGUCGGUAAGGUGAUAUGAACCGUUAUAACCGGCGAUUUCCGAAUGGGGAAACCCAGUGUGAUUCGUCACACUAUCAUUAACUGAAUCCAUAGGUUAAUGAGGCGAACCGGGGGAACUGAAACAUCUAAGUACCCCGAGGAAAAGAAAUCAACCGAGAUUCCCCCAGUAGCGGCGAGCGAACGGGGAGCAGCCCAGAGCCUGAAUCAGUGUGUGUGUUAGUGGAAGCGUCUGGAAAGGCGCGCGAUACAGGGUGACAGCCCCGUACACAAAAAUGCACAUGCUGUGAGCUCGAUGAGUAGGGCGGGACACGUGGUAUCCUGUCUGAAUAUGGGGGGACCAUCCUCCAAGGCUAAAUACUCCUGACUGACCGAUAGUGAACCAGUACCGUGAGGGAAAGGCGAAAAGAACCCCGGCGAGGGGAGUGAAAAAGAACCUGAAACCGUGUACGUACAAGCAGUGGGAGCCUCUUUUAUGGGGUGACUGCGUACCUUUUGUAUAAUGGGUCAGCGACUUAUAUUCUGUAGCAAGGUUAACCGAAUAGGGGAGCCGAAGGGAAACCGAGUCUUAACUGGGCGUUAAGUUGCAGGGUAUAGACCCGAAACCCGGUGAUCUAGCCAUGGGCAGGUUGAAGGUUGGGUAACACUAACUGGAGGACCGAACCGACUAAUGUUGAAAAAUUAGCGGAUGACUUGUGGCUGGGGGUGAAAGGCCAAUCAAACCGGGAGAUAGCUGGUUCUCCCCGAAAGCUAUUUAGGUAGCGCCUCGUGAAUUCAUCUCCGGGGGUAGAGCACUGUUUCGGCAAGGGGGUCAUCCCGACUUACCAACCCGAUGCAAACUGCGAAUACCGGAGAAUGUUAUCACGGGAGACACACGGCGGGUGCUAACGUCCGUCGUGAAGAGGGAAACAACCCAGACCGCCAGCUAAGGUCCCAAAGUCAUGGUUAAGUGGGAAACGAUGUGGGAAGGCCCAGACAGCCAGGAUGUUGGCUUAGAAGCAGCCAUCAUUUAAAGAAAGCGUAAUAGCUCACUGGUCGAGUCGGCCUGCGCGGAAGAUGUAACGGGGCUAAACCAUGCACCGAAGCUGCGGCAGCGACACUGUGUGUUGUUGGGUAGGGGAGCGUUCUGUAAGCCUGCGAAGGUGUACUGUGAGGUAUGCUGGAGGUAUCAGAAGUGCGAAUGCUGACAUAAGUAACGAUAAAGCGGGUGAAAAGCCCGCUCGCCGGAAGACCAAGGGUUCCUGUCCAACGUUAAUCGGGGCAGGGUGAGUCGACCCCUAAGGCGAGGCCGAAAGGCGUAGUCGAUGGGAAACAGGUUAAUAUUCCUGUACUUGGUGUUACUGCGAAGGGGGGACGGAGAAGGCUAUGUUGGCCGGGCGACGGUUGUCCCGGUUUAAGCGUGUAGGCUGGUUUUCCAGGCAAAUCCGGAAAAUCAAGGCUGAGGCGUGAUGACGAGGCACUACGGUGCUGAAGCAACAAAUGCCCUGCUUCCAGGAAAAGCCUCUAAGCAUCAGGUAACAUCAAAUCGUACCCCAAACCGACACAGGUGGUCAGGUAGAGAAUACCAAGGCGCUUGAGAGAACUCGGGUGAAGGAACUAGGCAAAAUGGUGCCGUAACUUCGGGAGAAGGCACGCUGAUAUGUAGGUGAAGUCCCUCGCGGAUGGAGCUGAAAUCAGUCGAAGAUACCAGCUGGCUGCAACUGUUUAUUAAAAACACAGCACUGUGCAAACACGAAAGUGGACGUAUACGGUGUGACGCCUGCCCGGUGCCGGAAGGUUAAUUGAUGGGGUCAGCGCAAGCGAAGCUCUUGAUCGAAGCCCCGGUAAACGGCGGCCGUAACUAUAACGGUCCUAAGGUAGCGAAAUUCCUUGUCGGGUAAGUUCCGACCUGCACGAAUGGCGUAAUGAUGGCCAGGCUGUCUCCACCCGAGACUCAGUGAAAUUGAACUCGCUGUGAAGAUGCAGUGUACCCGCGGCAAGACGGAAAGACCCCGUGAACCUUUACUAUAGCUUGACACUGAACAUUGAGCCUUGAUGUGUAGGAUAGGUGGGAGGCUUAGAAGUGUGGACGCCAGUCUGCAUGGAGCCGACCUUGAAAUACCACCCUUUAAUGUUUGAUGUUCUAACGUUGACCCGUGAUCCGGGUUGCGGACAGUGUCUGGUGGGUAGUUUGACUGGGGCGGUCUCCUCCUAAAGAGUAACGGAGGAGCACGAAGGUUGGCUAAUCCUGGUCGGACAUCAGGAGGUUAGUGCAAUGGCAUAAGCCAGCUUGACUGCGAGCGUGACGGCGCGAGCAGGUGCGAAAGCAGGUCAUAGUGAUCCGGUGGUUCUGAAUGGAAGGGCCAUCGCUCAACGGAUAAAAGGUACUCCGGGGAUAACAGGCUGAUACCGCCCAAGAGUUCAUAUCGACGGCGGUGUUUGGCACCUCGAUGUCGGCUCAUCACAUCCUGGGGCUGAAGUAGGUCCCAAGGGUAUGGCUGUUCGCCAUUUAAAGUGGUACGCGAGCUGGGUUUAGAACGUCGUGAGACAGUUCGGUCCCUAUCUGCCGUGGGCGCUGGAGAACUGAGGGGGGCUGCUCCUAGUACGAGAGGACCGGAGUGGACGCAUCACUGGUGUUCGGGUUGUCAUGCCAAUGGCACUGCCCGGUAGCUAAAUGCGGAAGAGAUAAGUGCUGAAAGCAUCUAAGCACGAAACUUGCCCCGAGAUGAGUUCUCCCUGAGACUAUAAGUCUCCUGAAGGAACGUUGAAGACGACGACGUUGAUAGGCCGGGUGUGUAAGCGCAGCGAUGCGUUGAGCUAACCGGUACUAAUGAACCGUGAGGCUUAACCUUACAACGCCGAAG
rnacentral:rRNA from 1 species